CCGUGGCCUGCACUGCUGGGCUGUGCGGCUGGCGCGCGCGAAGCUGGGCCGAGGCAGCUGCUGGGCCGACUCGGCCGAAAGGUAAGCAGGUAGGUUUUUCUUUUCUUUUUCCUUUUCCCUUUUUCUGUUUUCUAUUUUGCAAAUAGUUUUUGGAUUCAAAUUUCAAAUACCAUUUUGAAAAGCUGAGAAGUAGGAGAAAUCAAAUAUGGCACUAAUAUUUGUAAAUAUUCAAAUGGGGUUAAAGGUUUUAAAACAAAACCCAUUUGAAUGACAUUGGUAAAAUAGAGGA
rnacentral:lncRNA from 1 species